UUAAGUGAAUAAGGGCGUACGGUGGAUGCCUAGGCACUUGGAACUGAAGAAGGACGCAACAAACGGCGAAACGCGACGGGGAGUGGUACGUACACAAAGAUCCGUCGAUAUCCGAAUGGGGAAACCCGGCAGCAGUAAUGAGCUGUCACCCAUGAGUGAAUACAUAGCUCAUGAGGGAGGUACCCGGAGAACUGAAACAUCUAAGUAUCCGGAGGAAAAGAAAAUAAGAAUGAUUCCGUAAGUAGCGGCGAGCGAACGCGGAGGAGCCCAAACCAGAUCUUGAUCUGGGGUUGUAGGACCACGAAAUGGCAAGAGCAUGGCUAAGAGAACGGCAUUGAAAGGCCGACCGGAGAGGGUGCAAGUCCCGUAACUGAAAGCAAUGUGAAGCCUAGUGGUAUCCUGAGUACGGCGAGACACGAGAAAUCUUGUCGGAAGCAGGCGGGACCAUCCGUCAAGGCUAAAUAUACCCAAGUGACCGAUAGUGAACCAGUACCGUGAGGGAAAGGUGAAAAGAACCGCGGGAGCGGAGUGAAAUAGAACCUGAAACCGUAUGCUUACAAGAAGUCAGAGCCCGUUAAAGGGUGAUGGCGUGCCUUUUGUAGAAUGAACCGGCGAGUUACGUUAUCGUGCGAGGUUAAGUAGAAGAUACGGAGCCGAAGCGAAAGCGAGUCUUAAUAGGGCGACAGUACGAUGAUGUAGACCCGAAACCGUGUGAUCUAGCCAUGACCAGGUUGAAGUUCAGGUGAAACUGAAUGGAGGACCGAACCGACCCCCGUUGAAAAGUUGGCGGAUGAGUUGUGGCUAGGGGAGAAAUUCCAAUCGAACACGGAUAUAGCUGGUUCUCCCCGAAAUAGCUUUAGGGCUAGCGUCGAGGUAGAGUCGCAUGGAGGUAGAGCACUGAAUGUACGAUGGCCCCAUCCCGGGGUACUGAGUAUAAUCAAACUCCGAAUGCCAUGAAGACGUACUCGGCAGUCAGACUGUGGGUGAUAAGGUCCAUGGUCAAAAGGGAAACAGCCCAGACCGCCAGUUAAGGUCCCAAAAUGUAUGCUAAGUGGAAAAGGAUGUGGGGAUGCACAGACAACUAGGAGGUUGGCUCAGAAGCAGCCAUCCUUCAAAGAGUGCGUAACAGCUCACUAGUCGAGUGACCCUGCGCCGAAAAUGUACCGGGGCUAAGCAUACUACCGAAGCUGCGGAUUCAACUUUAGAGUUGAGUGGUAGGGGAGCGUUGCAUGCACGUAGAAGCCGUACCGUAAGGAGCGGUGGAGAGCAUGGAAGAGAGAAUGCCGGUGUGAGUAGCGAGAUGUAGGUGAGAAUCCUACACACCGAUAGCCCAAGGAUUCCAGGGGAAGGUUCGUCCGCCCUGGGUAAGUCGGGACCUAACGCGAGGCCGAAAGGCGUAGUGGAUGGAAAACAGGCAGAUAUUCCUGUACCCGCGAUGGAAAUGAAGGAAUGACGGAGAAGGCUAGUGUGAGCCACUGAACGGAUUGUGGUCAAAGCAUAUAGCAGGCUGACAGUGAAAUGCGUCAGCGGGAUGUAAGAUGUGACAGGUAAGGGAACGUCCUUGGACAAGUACUGAAGCACAUGAUGCCAGCUUCCAAGAAAAGUUUCUAGUGAUAAUUCCAUAGCGGCCCGUACCAAAACCGACACAGGUGGGCAAGGAGAGAAUCCUGAGGUGAGCGAGAGAACUGUUGCCAAGGAACUCGGCAAAAUGACUCCGUAAGUUAGCGAUAAGGAGUGCUCUUGUAAAAGAGAGCCGCAGUGAAGAGGCCCAAGCGACUGUUUAACUAAAACACAGCUCUCUGCAAAGUCGCAAGACGAAGUAUAGGGGGUGACGCCUGCCCGGUGCUGGAAGGUUAAGAGGAUUUGUCAUCCGCAAGGAGAAGCAAUGAAUUGAAGCCCCAGUGAACGGCGGCCGUAACUAUAACGGUCCUAAGGUAGCGAAAUUCCUUGUCAGGUAAGUUCUGACCCGCACGAAAGGCGUAACGAUUUGGGCGCUGUCUC
rnacentral:rRNA from 1 species